rnacentral:rRNA from 1 species
AUACGUAGGGAGCGAGCGUUGUCCGGAAUUACUGGGUGUAAAGGGAGCGUAGGCGGGAGUGCAAGUCAGAUGUGAAAUACAUGGGCUCAACCCAUGGGCUGCAUUUGAAACUGCAUUUCUUGAGUGAAGUAGAGGUAAGCGGAAUUCCUGGUGUAGCGGUGAAAUGCGUAGAUAUCAGGAGGAACACCGGUGGCGAAGGCGACUUACUGGGCUUUUACUGACGCUGAGGCUCGAAAGCGUGGGGAGCAAACAGGAUUAGAUACCCUGGUAGUCCACGUUGUAAACGAUGAUUACUAGGUGUGGGGGGACUGACCCCUUCCGUGCCGCAGUUAACACAAUAAGUAAUCCACCUGGGGAGUACGGCCACAAGGUUGAAACUCAAAGGAAUUGACGGGG